GACGAACGCUGGCGGCGUGCUUAACACAUGCAAGUCGAACGGUAAGGCCCUUCGGGGUACACGAGUGGCGAACGGGUGAGUAACACGUGGGUGAUCUGCCCUGCCCUUCGGGAUAAGCCUGGGAAACUGGGUCUAAUACCGGAUAGGACCACUGCCUGCAUGGGUGGUGGUGGAAAGCUUUUGCGGUGUGGGAUGGGCCCGCGGCCUAUCAGCUUGUGGGUGGGGUGAUGGCCUACCAAGGCGACGACGGGUAGCCGGCCUAAGAGGGUGACCGGCCACAAUGGGACUGAGAUACGGCCCAGACCCCUACGGGAGGCAGCAGUGGGGAAUAUUGAACAAUGGGCGCAAGCCUGAUGCAGCGACGCCGCGUGAGGGAUGACGGCCUUCGGGUUGUAAACCUCUUUCAGCACCGACGAAGCGCAAGUGACGGUAGGUGCAGAAGAAGGACCGGCCAACUACGUGCCAGCAGCCGCGGUAA
rnacentral:rRNA from 1 species